rnacentral:rRNA from 1 species
GAUGAACGCUAGCGACAGGCCUAACACAUGCAAGUCGAGGGGCAGCGGAGAGGUAGCAAUACCUUUGCCGGCGACCGGCGCACGGGUGAGUAACACGUAUGCAAUCCACCUGUAACAGGGGGAUAACCCGGAGAAAUCCGGACUAAUACCCCAUAAUAUGGGCGCUCCGCAUGGAGGGUCCAUUAAAGAGAGCAAUUUUGGUUACAGACGAGCAUGCGCUCCAUUAGCCAGUUGGCGGGGUAACGGCCCACCAAAGCGACGAUGGAUAGGGGUUCUGAGAGGAAGGUCCCCCACAUUGGUACUGAGACACGGACCAAACUCCUACGGGAGGCAGCAGUGAGGAAUAUUGGUCAAUGGCCGAGAGGCUGAACCAGCCAAGUCGCGUGAAGGAAGAAGGAUCUAUGGUUUGUAAACUUCUUUUAUAGGGGAAUAAAGUGGAGGACGUGUCCUUUUUGUAUGUACCCUAUGAAUAAGCAUCGGCUAACUCCGUG